UCCCUACAUUGUGAUAAUUAAUUUAUAGCCACAUUCAACAUCGCAUAUAGUACAUCGUAAGUUGUCCUCAAUCAGAUAAUCACCACUAUUUUAAUUUUAGUUGCAGCUUUCUGAAAUAAUUUGUGUCAUCUCACUGGAUGUUAAAAAACAAAGGGUACCUCACGUACAACCAUAGAACUGCUAAGUAACACAGCCCGUUCAAAGGAAAAAAAAUCGGGAGCUACAUGCACCGGGCUGCCCUUUUUUAUUUUAUUUUGAAUGGCAUUAUGUCGGGAGAGUAGCCCACCGUAAAUUUCUCAUAUUGAUCCAGAGUCAUCAAUCCUUCCCAAGGUGAUUUCUGUCUAAUCUUGGUUUAGUGUGUUCGCUUCGCAGCAAUGUCAGCAUGGGACCACAAUUGUAAAUAAUUUGAAUGACUUCAAUUUUCCAAGUCAUGUUUAAGUUAGGUCACCAGUUACACAAUCAAGCAACUGAGGGUUACUUCGGCUUGUGCAUACCUCUGGAUUUGCUUUUCUAGAUUCACUUGAUACCUAAUGGAUCCAACGUUUUUUCUGUUGACGGUUGUCGUCUGCUCGUGCUCUCUACUAUCGGACUGCUAGGAUCACCGUUCUUGUGGUUGUAUCGACAGUUCUGAUUUUUGUGGACGGUCCCAUCGCAGGUGCUUUUCUUCUCUCAUUCCUUUAUUUAUGCCUUUCCAUGUACAUGUUCUAAUUCAAAAUUGAUCUUCUAGGCAUGGGUUGUGGCUUACCAAGUCUAAUGUUUGUGUUGGGUUUUCCUUUUUUUUUUGUGGAGUUGGUCAGUUCAUUUGAAGCAAAAGAAUGGCAUGCAUUACCUUGCAUUGACAGUGUGAUUAAUCAUGCAACAUGAGUUAUUACAUAUUGUUGUGUAACGUACAAAAUGCCAGAUUCACUUAUUCAGCAUGUACCUAUAUUGCUCCUCUUCUGUAGUAAACCUUCUGGUUAAGUUUUGCAAUCAUCACCUCAUGUUAUACCUUGAAUAUUGUAUGUGCUCGAUCAAAUUGGAUGAAUCUCUAGACACCAUAGGCAUCUUAGAAUUGACAAUAUUGUGCAUGACUACAGGUUGUUGCGAAAAUGUUCUUGAACUAAUGCUAGCUCCAUCUGUUUUUUGUUUCCAUGUAAUUGAAAUGAGCUCUUUUCGAGCUUUGUUGUUCAGGCAUUUAGCAUUGGUUGUGUUUUUCUGUGGCUUGGCAGAGGUGUCGGUAUUGGUGGUCGAGCCACUAAUGCAGAACAUUAAUAGAGAGAUUUGUUGGCUGGACAUUGGCAUCCUCGUCAUGUCCAACUUCAG
rnacentral:lncRNA from 1 species